rnacentral:rRNA from 1 species
ACUAUGUUCCCUAGUAACGGCGAGUGAUUGUAGGCAGAGCUCAAGUGAAAUCGUGAGUCCUUUUUUGGCCUUACGAAUUGUAGCCUCUAGAGGCGUGACCAGUGGAGAGGCAGGUCCAAGUUUCUUGGAACAGAACUUCAGAGAGGGUGACAGUCCCGUCCUUUGUCCUGCUUUUUUUUCCACGUACGGUGCGCUUUUAUUGAGUCGCGUUCGUUGGGAUUCGAGCGCAAAAUGUGUGAUAAGUUUCACAUAAAGCUAAAUAUUGGCGUGAGACCGAUAGCGAACAAGUACUGUGAAGGAAAGAUGAAAAGGACUUUGGAAAGAGAGUUAAAAGUGUCUGAAAUUGCUGAAAGGGAAGCGAUUGAAACUUUUGUCUCUCCUGCUGAUUUGCUGAUCGUCGUCUUCAGUCUGCGUUAUGAUCAUAGUAGGUGUCGUGUUUGUAGCAUCCUUCCAGCAGAUGCCCCCGGGUGUGGGUCAGCAUCAGCAGGUUGUGUGAGGAUUUUUCCCGACGAAGAGAAAUCCUCCUCUGGGCUGCUAUAACCACAGGGUUUGUCAUCAUGCAUCCGCUGAGGUGGUUCUCGCGCGUUCGUUGGCUCCACUUUCGAGUACUGGCGUUCUUCGAUGCUGUCGUUAACGGUUUCAACCGACCCGUCUUGAAACACGGACCAAGGAGUCUAACAUAUGUGCGAGUAUGCGGGUUGUACCCCUGUAUGCGCAAUGAAAGUGAGAGUAGGGAGAGGUUUGGCUUUUUUUUCCAUAUCUUGCACCUACGACCGACCACGAUCUCUGUGAGAGGUUUGAGUUGUAGCACAUCUGUUAGGACCCGAAAGAUGGUGAACUAUGCCUGAGUAGGGUGAAGUCAGGCGAAAGCCUGAUGGAGGCUCGUAGCGAUACUGACGUGCAAAUCGUUCGUCAAACUUGGGUAUAGGGGCGAAAGACUAAUCGAACCGUCUAGUAGCUGGUUUCUUCCGAAGUUUCUCUCAGGAUAGCUGGAGUUCUAUUAGUUUUAUCAGGUAAAGCGAAUGAUUAGAGGCCUCGGGGGCGCGUUGCCCUCGACCUAUUCUCAAACUUUAAAUGGGUAAGAUCCAGUGGUUACUUCAUUGAACUGCUGGGGUUAAUAUGAACUCCAAGUGGGCCAUUUUUGGUAAGCAGAACUGGCGAUGAGGGAUGCUCCUAACGCUUGGUUAAGGUGCCUAAAUACUCGCUCAUGAGACACCAUAAAAGGUGUUGGUUCAUUUUGACAGCAGGACGGUGGUCAUGGAAGUCGAAAUCCGCUAAGAAGUGUGUAACAACUUACCUGCCGAAUGAACCAGCCCUGAAAAUGGAUGGCGCUGCAGCGGGUUACCGAUACCAGGCCAUUAUCGCAAGUUUGUAUGAGCACUCGACUUUUUGCCGGUAAUGGGGAUU